rnacentral:rRNA from 1 species
GAUGAACGCUGGCGGCGUGCCUAAUACAUGCAAGUCGAGCGAAUGGAUUAAGAGCUUGCUCUUAUGAAGUUAGCGGCGGACGGGUGAGUAACACGUGGGUAACCUGCCCAUAAGACUGGGAUAACUCCGGGAAACCGGGGUUAAUACCGGAUAACAUUUUGAACCGCAUGUUCGAAAUUGAAAGGCGGCUUCGGCUGUCACUUAUGGAUGGACCCGCGUCGCAUUAGCUAGUUGGUGAGGUAACGGCUCACCAAGGCAACGAUGCGUAGCCGGCCUGGGAGGGUGAUCGGCCAAACUGGGACUGAGACACGGCCCAGACUCCUACGGGAGGCAGCAGUAGGGAAGCUUCCGCAAUGGACGAAAGUCUGACGGAGCAACGCCGCGUGAGUGAUGAAGGCUUUCGGGUCGUAAAACUCUGUUGUUAGGGAAGAACAAGUGCUAGUUGAAUAAGCUGGCACCUUGACGGUACCUAACCAGAAAGCCACGGCUAACUACGUGCCAGCCGCCGCAGUAA